rnacentral:rRNA from 1 species
AGAGUUUGAUCAUGGCUCAGAGCGAACGCUGGCGGCAGGCUUAACACAUGCAAGUCGAGCGCCCCGCAAGGGGAGCGGCAGACGGGUGAGUAACACGUGGGAACGUACCCUUUGGUUCGGAACAACCCAGGGAAACUUGGGCUAAUACCGGAUAAGUCCGUAAGGAGAAAGAUUUAUCGCCAAAGGAUCGGCCCGCGUCUGAUUAGCUAGUUGGUAGGGUAAUGGCCUACCAAGGCUACGAUCAGUAGCUGGUCUGAGAGGAUGAUCAGCCACAUUGGGACUGAGACACGGCCCAAACUCCUACGGGAGGCAGCAGUGGGGAAUAUUGGACAAUGGGCGCAAGCCUGAUCCAGCCAUGCCGCGUGAGUGAUGAAGGCCUUAGGGUUGUAAAGCUCUUUUAGCGGGGAAGAUAAUGACGGUACCCGCAGAAAAAGCCCCGGCUAACUUCGUGCCAGCAGCCGCGGUAAUACGAAGGGGGCUAGCGUUGCUCGGAAUCACUGGGCGUAAAGCGCACGUAGGCGGCUUCUUAAGUCAGGGGUGAAAUCCUGGAGCUCAACUCCAGAACUGCCUUUGAUACUGAGAAGCUUGAGUCCGGGAGAGGUGAGUGGAACUGCGAGUGUAGAGGUGAAAUUCGUAGAUAUUCGCAAGAACACCAGUGGCGAAGGCGGCUCACUGGCCCGGUACUGACGCUGAGGUGCGAAAGCGUGGGGAGCAAACAGGAUUAGAUACCCUGGUAGUCCACGCCGUAAACGAUGGAUGCUAGCCGUUGGCGAGCUUGCUCGUCAGUGGCGCAGCUAACGCUUUAAGCAUCCCGCCUGGGGAGUACGGUCGCAAGAUUAAAACUCAAAUGAAUUGACGG